rnacentral:rRNA from 2 species
UCUUCGGAGAGUUUGAUCCUGGCUCAGGACGAACGCUGGCGGCGUGCCUAAUACAUGCAAGUCGAGCGAAUCGAUGGGAGCUUGCUCCCUGAGAUUAG